CACAGCAGCACUGUUUGCCAUUUAAUGUUGCUUUCUUUGUUUGCUCUAAAACGUAGUUCAUCUUGAAAAUGGACUAUAUUUAUUUGUUUAUUCACCAGUUUUUGUUUGCCUAGAUAGAGCGAAUGGAUAUAAACAAACAUUUGCAUGACCUCUUUUUCAGAUUUUUUCUUUCUGCCUAAUUCCCAGCUCUUUCCGGUCUGACUAGAGUCCUGAAUAUAAAGUAUGCUAGUUACUGCAGAGCUCCACAGAUAUGGGAACUUCAUAUUCCUAAUUGAUAAUGAAAUUCCAUAAAACAUAAAUCGUCUCUAGAGUUUAGCAAAAAUGGAGUAUUUAUCAUGUGAAAAGCAGUACUGGGGACUGGCCACUCCAAUAUGUGCACUGUUCACAAGAUGAGUUGCAACCUCCAACUUGACUAGCUUCAGACAACCCCUGCUACGCUUUCUGUACCUGUAAAUCCAUUGUUACCUGUUCUAGAAUUGAAUGCUGUACAAGAAGCAUGGCGGGGAGGCCUCAGGAAACCUACGGUCGUGGCUGAAGAUGAAGAGGGAAUCCUGUCUUACGUGACUGGAGCAGGAGGAAGAGUGGUGAAGCAGGAGAUGCUACGCACUGUUAACCAGUUCUUGUGAGAACUCACUAUCUCAAAACAGCAAGCGGGGAUAUCGGUCCUCGUGAUCCAAUCACAUCCCAUCAGGCCCUUCUAACAAUAUUGGGAAUUACAAGUUGACAGGAGAUUUGGCCAGGGACACAAAUCCAAACCACAUCUUGUAUGAAUGUUUGAAGUUCUAGAUUUAAGGAUCUCACUCUUUAUUCAUAUAAAUAUUGAAAUAAUGAAUUUUGAAAAAAUUAGUUGUUCCAGGGUUGAAACACGUUUUAAAAAUGUUUCCAAAAGAGUAACAAUAAUAAAAAUACUUUUUAAAAUUAAUUCUUUCACAACCUCCCUUACCCAGCCUUACUCCAUGAUGAAGUCAAAGUGAGAUAUGUUUAAAAUAAAUCACAUUGUUACCUCACUCCUUAAGAUGUGUCCCAAUAAUUCUAUUCUCUUCUGAAAAGUUUCAAAUUUCUGUUCUUUUCUGAAUGUGCUGCAUUUACUUUCUUAUUGAAGUUUCAUGUUGGUGGAGAAGACACACUCCGCCCUCCACGGAUGAUGAGACUACCCAUUCAGGGCUGCCUUCAGCUUCCUCUUCUGUCUUCUUCCUCUAACUAAAUUGUUUUCAUGAACAUUGUUCUAGUCACUUAUUUACAUGUAUUUACACUACACAUAAACUAAGACUUUGUGCCUCAGAAAGGCAGGUCAGUCAAUACCUUGUAACCCAUAGUUUACAAACUAAUAAAUCAAGAGCAGAAAAUUUUCCUGAAGCAGGGAUGCUGAGGAGAGGGAUACAAGGAAAGGGUAGAAAGAGUACUCAUGACCUCCUAGAAAUCUUCAGCUAGAAAAGCUUUGAAAUUUUUCAAAUGUAAGAGGAUCUCUGUCUUAGGAAAAAGGAGAAGCACAUUUUAAUAAUGGACAGUAAAGUUUAAAUAUUGGAAACAACUUUUAAGUUCAGAAAUAAUACCAGUAAAUCAACAAAAAGAACUAGAUUUCUUUGUAUUUGAUUAGGAUUAUUUAGAAGUGGUUAAUUAGAAUUUAUGACAUGAAAUUUAUUGAGACAAAAUAACAGAAUUUGAACAUCCAAACCAAGUAUGAAAGUGAUUGAAUUAGCAAUAUCCUUGAAAUUAACCUGUUUACUUAAUAUCUAACUAUAUAUAUCUGUAAGAAAAUGUCUAAUCUCUUUCCUGUUUCUUCCACUUUAUGUACUUUCAAAAAAAUUAAUUUGCAUAUUUUCUGACAGCUUAUUUUUUAUUUCAUUUGAAUGUACUUUCCUAUCUUGGCUAAAUAUAUAUUUCAAAACCAGCUCAAAUAUACAAAUAUUCCUAUUACAGAAAAAAAAGCAUUAACCAUAUUAUGUUUUGAAUCUAGACUGUUGUUUAUUUAUAACAACUGUUUAACUAAUAUGGCCAAAAUUGUUUAAGAGACUAUAUGGCAGCAAACAGAUACCAGACCUUUUGAGACUAAAAUAAAAAAAAUCAUUUUCAAAAUAUAUUUGAGUUUAAUGACAUAGAAGAAAUGAAAGUCAAAAGGUUAAACAAGAAGUCUAUGAUAAUUAUGUUUAAAAUGCUCUACAAACAGUCUAGAAAAGUAAAAUGCACUGGCAUUUAAAAAAUUUCAAUAAGUGAUUCAUUCUUUACUGAGAUAGUACUUUCACAUUUAUAGGUUUGCUGUAAGUUUUAUACUGAUUCAGUGUUUUUCCUAACAGGUGGGUUUUUAUUUAAUAAGGAAGUUACAUUUGAAUUUGUUCCCUGAGCUUUCUUGGAUUUAUUGAAGAAGUGCAAUUGUUAAAAUGACCCUGAGUCAUAGUUUUCAUUAUUAAAAUGCUGUUUCUUUUUUUUUUCUUCUUCCUAACCCUUAAUGGAAUGCUGCUUUUUAAAAUGUCAAUUUUCACUUUUUCAAGAGAAGUAAUAUCAUAUGUCUGUAUUAAAAGCUUUUUCAU